AGGAUGGGACUGCGUCCGAUCAGGCUGUUGGCGGGGUAAUGGCCCACCAAACCUGUAACCGGUACGGGCCUUGAGAGAGGUGGCCCGGAGAUGGACACUGAGAGAAGGGUCCAGGUCCUACGGGGCGCAGCAGGCGCGAAACCUUCGCAAUGCGCGAAAGCGUGACGAGGUUAAUCCGAGUGACUCCCGCUGAGGGGGUCUUUUGUCAGCUGUAAAUAGGCAGGCGAAUAAGGGGAGGGCAAGCCUGGUGUCAGCCGCCGCGGUAAUACCAGCUCCUCGAGUGGUCGGGGCGAUUAUUGGGCCUAAAGCAUCCGUAGCCGGUUCCGUAGGUCCUCUGUUAAAUCCAACCGCUCAACGGUUGACCUGCAGAGGAUACCGCGGGACUAGGAGGCGGGAGAGGCGGACGGUACUCCGCGUGUAGGGGUAAAAUCCUUUGAUCCGCGGAAGACCACCAGUGGCGAAGGCGGUCCGCCAGAACGCGCUCGACGGUGAGGGAUGAAAGCUGGGGGAGCGAACCGGAUUAGAUACCCGGGUAGUCCCAGCCGUAAACGAUGCUAGCUAGAUGAUUCAUUCGCAAGUCGCGAAUGAAGUGUCGCAGGGAAGCCGUUAAGCUAGCCGCCUGGGGAGUACGGUCGCAAGACUGAAACUUAAAGG
rnacentral:rRNA from 1 species